rnacentral:rRNA from 1 species
GAUGAACGCUGGCGGCGUGCCUAAUACAUGCAAGUCGAGCGAACGGACGAGAAGCUUGCUUCUCUGAUGUUAGCGGCGGACGGGUGAGUAACACGUGGAUCACCUACCUAUAAGACUGGGAUAACUUCGGGAAACCGGAGCUUAUCCCGGAUAAUCUUUUGAACCGCAUUGUUCAAAAGUGAAAGACGGUCUUGCUGUCACUUCUAGAUGGAUCCGCGCUGCAUUAGCUAGUUGUUAAGGUAACGGCUUACCAAGGCAACUAUGCAUAGCCGACCGGAGAGGGUGAUCGGCGACACUGGAACUGGGACACGGUCCAGACUCCUACGGGAGGCAGCAGUAGGGAAUCGGCGGCAGUGGGCGAAAGCCUGACGGAGCAACGCCGCGUGAGUGAUGAAGGUCUUCGGAUCGUAAAACUCUGUUAUUAGGGAAGAACAUAUGUGUAAGUAACUGUGCACAGCUUGACGGUACCUAAUCAGAAAGCCACGGCUAACUACGUG